rnacentral:lncRNA from 1 species
AUGGAUACCAUUGAAACGUUACACAUGGUUGGUUGCCAUCUCACUUGGAGGGUCUGUCGGGAUGUCCGGGCAAGGCAGGGCGAAGCUUCUGAGCGGUCCCACGCUUGGGUGACGCCGUCGGACUCGGAGCGCGACAUCAUCCCCCAUCACGCGGACUGGAGGUGGCACUCUACGGACUUAGGUUGUUGCAAAUCUCUCUCAUCAUCUCAUGAAUCUGCUGUACUAUAAAAACAACAGCUUUUAAAGUAUGUACAUAGAAUCCAUUUCUUGUUCGUUUUAUUUUCUUGAUGGGUUCCCCCCCCCUCCCCUUUUUAAACCUAUUCAAAUCACGUUUUUUCGUAGCGUUUUGACAUAGUCUCGUAGUCAUGUAGUUCUGAUUCUUUGUGUAUCUAGGAAGAGCCUAACCAUAGUAUAACUGUUUAUAUUAAGAGUUUUCUUUCUUUUUCUCCCCCCACCCCCACCCCCCUUUUUCCUUUUGUUUUAUGUAGUUGUUGUUGCUUAAAGGAUGCUGAGAUGGUAACGCGAUUCUCAGCCUUUUGGUACCAAUUCUGCAGCGGUAAACCUGGCGGGUGGAGGCACACACUGAAUUGGCGGUGGCGCGGUGCAGCGGGCGGGCUGACGGGAAGGCUCUAGUUUGCGUGUCUGGGAGCCGAGCGCGUACUUGAGUAGCAGGUUCUCUAGCCGGUCUUUUCGUUUGUGAUGUCUUUGUUAACCUGAUUAUAUCUAUUUUCGGCAAUAAGGUAAGGACUGCAAAAUUUUGUGGGUCCUUUUUCUAUAAGUGCUUUUUUUUGUUGAAAGAGGUGAUAUAAGGUUUUUUGAAAUUGUGAAUUCUGAAAAAAAUACUGUAAAUACAAUUCCAUUAACUACAUAUAAACUAUUAAGAAAGAGAAAUACAAACUAUUUUUGUGAUGGAGUCAGUCUAAGGCAGUUUCGCUAUUAAAAUGGAAGAAAAAAAUUAAAGUUUUAAACUUUUAGAUCAACUGCCAGAGCUGGCCCAUAGGAGUUAGAUUAACACUGUUUAGCUUGCUCUGUAGGUGUGUUAGACCUUCGAACUGUCCUAGCGUCAUACCAGCAUAUUAUCUAGUCAUAUGUGCACAGCUUAAAAAGUAACAGUCUAGUUAUAUUUUUAAUUUAAGAACUGCUUUUCCCAAGACUGAAAAAGAAGCUACGGUUUUAAUAUUUAACGCAUUUAAAGUUCAAAGCACACUUUUUUUUUUUUUAGUUGUUAUUUUAAAUUAGAUCAACUUGCUGUCCAGUCAUUUCAGCUGCUCUGUGCAUCCUACAAAGCUCUGGCAGGAAGAGGUCCCUCUUCGGUGUUUAACGUGCUGUAGNNNNNNNNNNNNNNUGUUACCUUUUUUAUCCAUUAUUUUCUGUAUUAACAAAUUAGGAAAGCAACUUUGUUUUUGGGAAUACCUCAGUGCUACAAGUAUCACCCUAGAAGCAAUGGAAGAUUUUAAUUUAUUGUAGUUGUAAACAGAAUUUUAAAAAAAUAAAGUAUAAAACAUCAUUGCA